CCUACGGGAGGCAGCAGUGGGGAAUAUUGCACAAUGGGGGGAACCCUGAUGCAGCGACGCCGCGUGAGUGACGAAGUAUUUCGGUACGUAAAGUUCUAUCAGCAGGGAAGAAGAAAGCCGGUCCCUGCCCAAGAAGCCCCGGCUAACAACGUGCAAGCAGCCGGGGUAAUACGUAGGGGGCAAGCGUUAUCCGGAUUUACUGGGUGUAAAGGGAGCGUAGACGGCAAGGCAAGUCUGGAGUGAAAGGCAGGGGCCCAACCCCUGGACUGCACUGGAACCUGUCGGGCUGGAGUGCAGGAGAGGUAAGUGGAAUUCCUAGUGUAGCGGUGAAAUGCGUAGAUAUUAGGAGGAACACCAGUGGCGAAGGCGGCUUACUGGAC
rnacentral:rRNA from 1 species